rnacentral:lncRNA from 1 species
CUCGAGGCCACACAGUGCCCAGCUAUGUACAGGCCAGGAGCGAGGGAGCAGCCUGGGUGUGAUGGAUGCGAACAGCCUUGGGUUAAGAGAACUGCAGAAGCAGCAGUGGUUGCACGUGUCAGUGGCAUCACGUUCAGUCUUUUGUGACAAGGAAGGAGGAUGUGGGAAACAGCACCACUGGCAGGAGGGUCAAUCUGGACAAACAGCUCCAAGUAUGUGAGUUAUCUGACCUUUCAGUGGGUGAAAAGUGGCAAGGCUGCAGCACCUGGUG